rnacentral:rRNA from 1 species
AGCCUGCGUCCGAUUAGCUAGUUGGCGGGGUAAAGGCCCACCAAGGCGACGAUCGGUAGCUGGUCUGAGAGGACGACCAGCCACACUGGGACUGAGACACGGCCCAGACUCCUACGGGAGGCAGCAGUGGGGAAUUUUUCGCAAUGGGGGCAACCCUGACGAAGCAAUGCCGCGUGGAUGAAGAAGGCCUUCGGGUUGUAAAGUCCUUUCGUGGGGGACGAAAAGGUGGGUACUAAUACGGUCUGCUGUUGACGUGAACCCAAGAAGAAGCACCGGCUAACUCCGUGCUGGCAG